rnacentral:rRNA from 1 species
UAGGGAAUAUUGCAAAAUGGGCGAAAGCCCGAUGCAGCAGCGCCGCGUGGGCGAUGAAGGCCUUCGGGUCGUAAAGCCCUUUUUGAGGGGAUGAGGAAGGACAGUACCCUCAGAAUAAGCCUCGGCUAACUACGUGCCAGCAGCCGCGGUAAAACGUAGGAGGCGAGCGUUAUCCGGAUUUACUGGGCGUAAAGCGCGUGCAGGCGGAUUGGAGAGUUGGAUGUGAAAGCUCCCGGCUUAACUGGGAGAGGUCGUUCAAUACUUCCAGUCUUGAGUGCAGUAGAGGGAAGUGGAAUUCCGGGUGUAGUGGUGAAAUGCGUAGAUAUCCGGAGGAACACCAGUGGCGAAAGCGGCUUCCUGAACUGUAACUGACGCUCAGACGCGAAAGCUAGGGUAGCAAACG